rnacentral:rRNA from 1 species
UACAGAGGGUGCAAGCGUUUGUUCGGAAUUACUGGGCGUAAAGCGUGCGUAGUCGGUAUUGAGAGUCGCGGGUGAAAUCCCAGGGCUUAACCCUGGAACUGCCUGCGAGACCUCAGUACUAGAGUGUGAGAGGGGAUAGUGGAAUACCAAGUGUAGCGGUGAAAUGCGUAGAGAUUUGGUGGAACACCGGUGGCGAAGGCGGCUCUCUAGUACGGUACUGACGCUGAGACGCGAAAGCGUGGGGAGCGAACAGG